rnacentral:lncRNA from 1 species
GGGGGCUAGCUAGGGUACUAGGGGCAAGUUAUAUAGCAUGGGUGCAGCGUUAUAGCAGAGGCGGAGGAUGAAAAAAAUAAGGUGUGGCAAAGUUUGCCGGAGAUCACUGGAGGUACAAAGCUAUGUAGUCGUGUCAGACAGAUUCUAUCGUCGGUCGGGAACUAUCCUCGCAGGAGCGACGGAGUGCAAUGCGGACGGCCAUUGCCUCCUCCAACCCACACGGGAUGACACCCCAAUCGACGGAUUCGGGUUAGUCGGAGCCAGAUUUGCUGCUCGCCAUGCCGGGAAGGUUGGAGAUCGUCGAAGGUGAAAUCGGAUGAUGGAGGGGAGUGAAGGUGACUUGAGUGGAGCCUCUUGGGUUUGAUCAGACGAAUGGAUUGGGAGGAAUUUAUACGAGUCGGGUGGGCCAGCAUGGGCCGAUUCCCGCGUGGCGGAGGACCCUCACAUUCGCCCCAUAUUUGGGCUGGAUAUGAGGGGUGUCUAUCAACCCGGGCGUUUGUGGACAGUUUGCGGCGUCUCCGUGGUUCACUUUUCUGUGAUCGGUCAGUAACCGAGCAGGCAUUUGAGACGGGUAUAAAAGUUCCAUAUGUAGAUGCUUUAAACCCUCAUCCUGGCGCCACCGUAGGCUACCCGUCGUCAGUUACCCUCCUGUUUCUCACGACAUGGUCAGCCGCCGCCGCUGCGCUAGCUGCUUAGGGUUCUCGAUUGAAUUGAGCUCGGUUGGUUCCUGGCACAACAACUGGAUGGGUCGGCUCAUCAGGCCAGCAGCCACUUUCUUUCACCCUUUUUUGGAUGCGCUCGAAUGAUCGAUACUUGUGUAUGUGUAAAUUUUGUUUUGUCAAAAAUUAAGGUAUGACGGCUGCCAUACCUUGCCCACCGGGGGCCUCCGCCAAUGCGUUGUAGCACGUCGGUGGUGAGCAUCAGUGUCCAUGGCGGUGUAUGAAUGACACGCACCAGAGUAUGCGAGGAGGAAGACAACGCCAUAUCCCAAAAGCAUCUAAAUCAUAGCAAAACCACUCAACGGGCGGAUUUACCCGGUUUCAGAUAUUUCAGGAUCAAAAUUGUACCAAAAUCGACUUAAGGGGGUGUCAUCAUAGGAUACUCGAGUUUUUCAUGUCAAAUAUUCCAUCGCAUUUAUCGGCAAUGGAUAUAUCAGCACACAAUAAACCCAUUUACAUUUGAUUUUAUGCCUGUACUAGCCAAAGCAAGAAAGAAAAGAACCAGAGAUGUAGAAAGCAGGCAAAUCCCAAAGGAGAAUGCCAAAAGAGGGCCAAAGGGUCCAGAAGUGCCCCUCUACCGGACACCUGCCCCAAUCUUCUACGGACCAAAAACCGCUCACAUGCAUGCAGACCUCAAAAGCUCGACCGCAAACAUCUGGAUACGAAAGUGUAGACACGCAGCUAGCUUUACCCCGAAAUCCCGAUGCACCCCAUGUGUUUGGCGGCCUACAAUGCAACGCAC